AAAUGUUUUGUUUACGUUUUUCGGAUCGGAAGUUUUCAAAUAAAUUCGUCGCAAAACGCAAACUCGGCUCGCGAUAACACAUGCAAAUCUCUCGCUGCGAUGACAAACAUACCAUCCGCACAGCAGUGUCGUUCACGUUCGAAUCCUCAGCAGCAGAUGGACGUUGGAGGUUACGCCCAAGGGGGAAUGUUUCCAGACCAGCAACAAGGAAUGAAACCAAACCUGCAACAGCAAGGAUGCGGCGGGCCACGACUAGGGUUUAGCGUUUUCUCAGCAGCUGCAACAAGGCCCGGUGGUCCUAGCGGUCCAAAUGGGCUUAAUGGGUAUUCCUACGCCACAGCUCGCAAUGCAAAAACAGUUGUUCCAAAAACACCAUCCGGACCAGCAUCGUCAGACCCGAACCAGAUAGGUGAUGUACCCGGAGACCCCAGAGAUACCAGCAUACUGAUCGCUCAGGAUCAGCUCAACAAAUUCGUCAACAGUUGUAGUAGUAUCACGUGUACUAUUUAGUACUAGGAACGAAUUAAAGCACUGGAAAAAGUAUUCCCUACAAAAAGAAACCGCCCAACCGGUUCAAAGCGCUUCCGUUAUCCGUUUCCGGAAAACGAGACAAAAUUCAAGUCUCGUUCACAAUUGGCAUUACUUGUGGUACCCGAGUCACAGGUCUUUCAUUUAGUUAUUACGACCCGGUCAGGAGAAAUGUCUCAAAGCCUGCCGCCCGAACCAUAUUAGCAACCUAGGUAACGUCAGCGUCGUAGAGUUGUUUGAUUAGUAUGGUGUGAUCCAGCAUUUCAUAGUUUCUACUUAAUUCGAAACUCACGGAGAAUUCUCGAUUUCUGUGAAACCUAUCCCAUAUUGAAACUCAUGCACCGGGAGACAAAUGAUCAUUAAAGUUAUGACGGAGAAGAUGGCGAAAGUAACUUUUUCGACAUCAGAGGUUUCCAGCCACUCAGCGCAAUUUGGUACUCCAGGGCGUAAUCGGCAUGCUUGUUCUCAAAGAUAAAGUGACGUCGUAAGAGGUUCUGGAUAAAUGUUCGUUGGCUGUUCGGUUACGCAAUGUGUCUUUAAAAUACCCAAUCAAUGAAGGUGGUAGCUAUAUUCAACACCAAACUGUAACAAAAAGAUUAAAUUUCCCUUAUUCCUAAUGUGAAAAAAUAAUAUUGGGUAGUAAAAGCUUGAAUGUAUGUAUGUAUUCAACCAAUAAAA